CAGUCGAGCGGUCCUGGUUCUCUCUGUUCCUUGUUUUGAUACUCGACCGCGGGUAACCCGCAAUUGUUCAGCCCCUGUGUUACACAGUUGGCCCAAGUUAUCGCGUAAUGUUCCCCGACGUUGGCCAGGCUUUCAAACGGAACGAGGACUCCGUCCUAUGUUCUUCAAAUGAAGAUCACCGAUGGCAUCCAAAUUACGAUCAAGCAGUAUUUUUGAAACUACAAGUCGCCAAACCGGCUGGAUGUCACCAUCUCAUGCCGCGCCCUCUACGUAUUCAUCAAGCAUACAGAUCUACCGGUUACUGUUAUUGCUAGUCGAGCGGAACCUAUUCCGGAUUGAAUGAGGAAAUAAAUGGUCGUGGCGGGACUUCGCGAAGGUUUCCGGAGUUUCUCGCCUUUCCUUUCUGGCCCUUCGGUCGUUUAUCUCGCAGAAUAAGGCGCACGAAAGGAACCAGGAAAGAAAGUAAAAUAUCAUAGGAAACUGU